rnacentral:rRNA from 1 species
UACGAAGGGGGCUAGCGUUGCUCGGAAUCACUGGGCGUAAAGCGCACGUAGGCGGAUCUUUAAGUCAGGGGUGAAAUCCUGGAGCUCAACUCCAGAACUGCCUUUGAUACUGAUGAGCUUGAGUCCGGGAGAGGUGAGUGGAACUGCGAGUGUAGAGGUGAAAUUCGUAGAUAUUCGCAAGAACACCAGUGGCGAAGGCGGCUCACUGGCCCGGUACUGACGCUGAGGUGCGAAAGCGUGGGGAGCAAACAGG